ACGAGCCAGCAAUACAGAGGCGCUCGUCUCGCUCGUUGGUCAGCCAGAGCAGAAGGCGCACGCAACUCGCAGUCGAAAACCUAAUCCCCAAUCCUCAUCUGGCAUCCGGCCAUCCCCAAUUCCCCAUCCCCAUCCAGCCCUCCCGCCGGGGCCGUCCGGCCAUCCGGGCGUCCGCCGCUCCGUCCUGUCAUUCCACCAAGAAGAGACGCCGCUCCGCUCCCCUUCGAAGGAGCGCUGCCUUGUGCCUUGCCUGCCUGCUCCCUGCUGGAUCUCCCUCUACCACGAGCAGCCAGCCCGCCAGUCGCCAGACGUCGGUCCGAACUCUGAAGCAAGGCAGCAAGCACUCGGCGCCGCGGGCCGCCGAUCCGGAGCGCGGAGGAGAUGACGGGCUGUUGCCCAAGCUCCUGAAUGGCUGAUUCCCCCUGAAUCCCUAGUUUCUGACGCCCUUUGGCCUUUGGAAUCGAAGAUGAAGAGGAAUGGUGACAUUAAGUCCUUUUUUCAGAAUUAUGAGGCUGCUAAAAGAAGGAAGGUUGCAACCGAAGAGCAACCUGAAGAUAUAGUGUCAAAUAUUGAAGAUGAAGCAGUCCAUUCUCCACCUCGAGUCCAUUCUGCAGAGAUUGAAUUUGAUAUUGGAGAUGAAGCAGUCCAUUCCGAUGCAGAGAUUGAAAGUGAUAGUGAAGAUGAAGCAGUCCAUUCUCCGUGUGCAAGGCCAUAUAAUAUUCAAAGGCUUCCUCCUGAUCCAGGGUAGAGGAUUCCUAUUUCAGAGUAUGAUGUCGAUGAUCAAGAUGAAGUUCGGAGACGAUACAUUGCAAAGCAAGCAGUCCAACCAUAUGCACACAACUUUCAAGUCAGGAAAAUCUAUGGUAAAAAUCGACACUUCAACUUUGUUUGGUUUGAGACCUACAAAUGGUUAGAAUAUAGUGUCAAAUACGAGGCAGCAUUUUGCUUUGUGUGUUAUUUGUUCAAAGGGAAAUCUAAUGGGGGCCUAGGGGUGAUGCCUUUGUUAAUGGUGGUUGGAAAAAUUGGUAUAAGCCCGAUGCAUUGGUCAAACAUGUUGGUGGUUUUAAUAGCAUUCACAACAAAGCUCAAGAGAAGUACAAUUUAUUUGUGGCACCCCAACCAUCAAUUGAUAACAUUAUGGUGAGGGUGGAUAAAGAGGAUUUGCGUAUGUACAAGGCUAGGCUGACUUAUUCACUUAGAUGCUUGAGGUUUCUUUUGAACCAAGGAUUGGCAUUUCGUGGACAUGAUGAGAGUGAAGAAUCUAGCAAUAGGGGGAACUUUCUUGAACUUCUUAAAUGGCUUUUAGAAAAUAAUGAAGAAGUUAAUAAACUUGUUUUGAACAA